rnacentral:tRNA from 2 species
GCGAAGGUGGCGGAAUUGGUAGACGCGCCAGCUUCAGGUGUUAGUGUCCUUACGGACGUGGGGGUUCAAGUCCCCCCCCUCGCACCA